rnacentral:misc_RNA from 1 species
GAAAGUCCUGCUCCUUCAGCCGCUUGCGCUGAGGCUCCCACUCGGCGCCGAGAUCGAGCCCGAUGGCAUGAAGCAGUGACGGGUCUGGGAGAUUGCGGUAGCUGUCGUCGGCGAAGAACUCGAUCGGCGGCGAGAUCUGGGGGGAGAUAUUCCUGAAAGGAUCGGACUGCUGGAGCUGCUGCUGCUGGAGCUUGAGCUGGAGGUGGGGGUGAUUUGGG